rnacentral:tRNA from 1 species
GUGGUGGCUCAGCGGUAGAGUGCUUGCUUAGCACUUGCGAGGCCUUGGGUUCAAUCCUCAGCACCACA